UCAUUAUUUUUAUUAUUUCAAAAAAUGAUAUUGUCAAAGAUGACAUUUGUUCUCUUUUUACAUGAAUGUUUGGAACUACAAUUCUCAUAUAUUGUCAUAAUUUUAAUCUUUCUUGUACUUAGGUGGUAUUAGUUUAACUUCUCUCGUGAAUAAUCUAAACUGGAGUUCUCAUUUUCAUAAUUCUUAUCAAAAAAUAAAGCCAUCACAAAAAAUGGCCACAUAAUUGAAGAGGGAGGAAGGAAUUGUUUAGUAUCCAUAUAUGUCUAUGUAGGCCUGAGCAUCGGUCGGCCACGGUCGGUUUCGGACAAAAAUUCUUAAAAUCAUCCAAAACCGAUUAAGAAAAAUCAGGAGCCAUUUCCGACCGACGAAGAACUCGGGUUUUAGCGGGUUCAAUCCGUGCGGGUUACGGUUUCAUCGGAUGGAUUCAUCGGUUUGAGAAGCUUCCUCUAGCGUCUCGUGCCGCCAUCCUUCGUCACUCUUUGCCGGUCUCUGUUACUGCUUCAUUUGGGAGAAAUCACGGAGUUUCAGAUCUCCACAUCACCACCUUCAUCAACCAGAACAGGGAGCUUCUCAGUGGCGGUAGCCAUGGCAGGAAUAAGUUGAAGAAAAGAGGAUGUUUACGGAGUGAAGAAGAAGAAGAAAGAAGACACUAUGAAGAAGAAGAAAGAAGCAGAAGAAAGAAGACGGAGUGAAGAAGAAGAGAAAAGAAGACGGAGUGAAGAAGAAGAAGAAAGAAGACGAAGUAAAAGAGACGGAGAAAAUAAACGGUGAAGACGAACGGUCGGAUUCGGGUGCAUCGGAUGAGAAAAUUCUAACACCGAAUCCGACCGUUAAAACUCGUUUGAACCCAAAAUUUGCUUCAGAAAAAAUCC